CACCUGGCAUUAAACAAGCAGGCACUAUACAAGGCAGAGUACGAACACGCAUUCCUCCGCUCCCCACCAAUCGUGUCCAGAGACAAUUCCCUUACAAAGAACUACGCCCGUGGGACGGGCCCACGCAACAGGGAGAUGAUUUCGCGAACGCAAAGCUCAUGCCGACUCGCCCGGCCUCGACUUGACCCACCCGCAAGCCAAAUACGUGGGGCCCAGGGACCGGUGAGGCGGGGGCUCUAGGCGGCGGCCACUGCUGUCCGUCUCCACCUCGCCCAACUCGCGUCCGCCUCCGUCUCCGCAUCCACUUAUAAAAGCCACCCGCCCUCCGGGCGCCUCCUUCUUUUCCUGUAGUUCUACCAGAGAAAAGAAAUCACACCUCCCAUCCAUCUCAGGACGGCGGCGUGCGCGGGUUCGUCUCCGGAGGCUUUCCCCAUGGCGGAGGAGUACGACGAGCAGGGCAUGGCCAUCGCGGCCGCCGAGAUACUUCUNNN
rnacentral:lncRNA from 1 species